UACGUAGGGGGCAAGCGUUAUCCGGAUUUACUGGGUGUAAAGGGGGCGCGGACGGCGAUGCAAGCCAGGAGUGAAAGCCCGGGGCCCAACCCCGGGACUGCUCUUGGAACUGCGUGGCUGGAGUGCAGGAGGGGCAGGCGGAAUUCCUGGUGUAGCGGUGAAAUGCGUAGAUAUCAGGGGGAACACCGGUGGCGAAGGCGGCCUGCUGGACUGCAACUGACGUUGAGGCCCGAAAGCGUGGGGAGCAAACAGG
rnacentral:rRNA from 1 species